UACAGAGGUGGCAAGCGUUGUUCGGAAUUACUGGGCGUAAAGCGCACGUAGGUGGCUUUGUAAGUUAGAGGUGAAAGCCCGGGGCUCAACUCCGGAAUUGCCUUUAAGACUGCAUCGCUAGAACGUCGGAGAGGUAAGUGGAAUUCCGAGUGUAGAGGUGAAAUUCGUAGAUAUUCGGAAGAACACCAGUGGCGAAGGCGACUUACUGGACGACUGUUGACACUGAGGUGCGAAAGCGUGGGGAGCAAACAGG
rnacentral:rRNA from 1 species